rnacentral:rRNA from 1 species
GACGAACGCUGGCGGCGUGCCUAAUACAUGCAAGUCGAGCGGAAGUUGGAGAGCUUGCUCUUCAACUUUAGCGGCGGACGGGUGAGUAACACGUGGGUAACCUGCCCUGCAGAUCGGGAUAACUCCGGGAAACCGUUGCUAAUACCGAAUAGUUUUCGCCACCUCCUGGUGGCGUACGGAAAGACGGUUUCGGCUGUCACUGCAGGAUGGGCCCGCGGGGAAUUAGCUAGUUGGUGGGGUAACGGCCCACCAAGGCGACGAUGCGUAGCCGACCUGAGAGGGUGAUCGGCCACACUGGAACUGAGACACGGCCCAGACUCCUACGGGAGGCAGCAGUAGGGAAUCUUCCGCAAUGGACGAAAGUCUGACGGAGCAACGCCGCGUGAGUGACGAAGGUUUUCGGAUCGUAAAACUCUGUUGUGAGGGAAGAACAAGUACCAAUUAACUACUGGUACCUUGACGGUACCUCACCAGAAAGCCACGGCUAACUACGUGCCAGCAGCCGCGGUAACAC